rnacentral:lncRNA from 1 species
AAACGGCCCAUCAUGAGUAAUGGUUACUUGGGAAGGCAAACGCCAUCACUUGGAAUGUUCCAUAUUCUUUUUCUUUCCUUUUUUCCUUUAUUUUCUUUUUAUGACAUCAUAUGACAUGGGAUAUCUUUUUGGUCCAUUUGGGUCAGCUAUCCUAGAUGUGUCUCCUCACAGCUCCUUGUGCACCCCCAACCUCCUUACCAGCAGGGCAGCACAAGUAGAAAAGUCCUUGUCUCUGUGUAAGCACUGCUCUGCAACAACAAAAAAACGUGGUGUGAUAUCAUCAUUAUUCUCAUCCUAAAUCCAAAACGCAGCACCAUACUAGCUACUAUAAAAAAAAAAACUAACUCUGUGCAGCCAAAAACAGGACAUAUGCACAAAUACAGAUGGUGUGGAGAAUGGAUUAAGGGCAGCCCUGAUGAGAAGGACCUUGGGGUGUUGGUUGAUGAGAAGCUCAACAUGAGCCGGUAAUGUGCACUUGCAGUCCAGAAAACCAGCCAUAUCCUGGGCUGCAUCAAAAGUGUGGCCAGCAGGUUGAGGGAGGGGAUUCUCCCCCUCUACUCUGCUCCUGUGAGACCCCACCUGGAGUACUGCAUUCAGCUCUAGGACCCUGUCGCGUUAAAGGGGUGUAGCUGAUUAACCGUUACGGGCCUGGUUGGAUUCAGAGUACUGAACUAUCACGGAUAGCCACCCUCACCCUAGUUGCACUUAAUGAGGGCUAUCACAAUGCAAUCAAGUAUGGUUUAUUACAGCAACAGAUAAUCAGGUUCUUUUGGAUUGCCGGUGAUAGUGACUAUCUGCAAAAGCAAGCUAGUAUGCAUGAAAUACACAGGUGUUAUAGGUGUUACAGAUGUUAUACAGAUAAUCAGGUUCUUUUGGAUUGCCGGUGAUAGUGACUAUCUGCAAAAGCAAGCUAGUAUGCAUGAAAUACACAGGUGUUAUAGGUGUUACAGAUGUUAUACAGGUGUUACAGGUGCGCAGCCUAGAAAUAAACACGUUAAAAGGAUCAAAGACUCUAUAGAGAUUUAUAAGCAAAUAUUCAGAUCUCACCCAAAGGCGUCCCAAUGGGGGGGGAAGAGAGGUUCAGCCCGUCGACUGAUCCCAGGAGUCAGGAGGUCCUAAGGAUGUUGUAUGUCCUCAGGAUGGUAUCUCCCCUGACGGUGGUAUCUUCCCUAACAUCCCCUCUCUCUUGGGCCAAUUUAUAUUAUUUUCUGUCUUCUAGGUGGAGCUUGAGUGGCUCUAGUCAAGCAUAUCUUAGUUAUGAUUGGUGUAAAGUUUUCCCGUCUCCGUUUAAAGUAAUAGGCUCCGAGAAAUUCAGAGCGCAUGCUCAGUGAGGGGUGGUCGCACCUUGGAGGCGGGUAGCUUUUGGGAUGGAGGUGUGUUUUGGUAUUAUAAUGAUAUUAUAAUGAGCAAAAAGUACACUAGGGUACAGCAUUUGUCAAAACAUGACAGGUCUUUGGCUUAGGGUGGCAAAAAGUGCAGCUUUGUGCACAAGAACAAUCGAGGCCCCACCUGAUUACAGAGCCUAGCCGUGGUGUCUCCACUCCACUCCACGCUCCGUGGUGUUCCUUAGAGCUAGCACACCAAGUUUCCCCAGCGCAAUAGCAUCUAAGGUUGGUAGCCUAGGGAAUGCUCAGAUAAUGCAGUUAUGCCCUACCCUGAAAGCCUCUUCAAUGCUGUACCUUUUCCUUAAAAGUGUGAAUGUUAGUUUUAUUUUCCUAGUUACUUCAGGCAUUUACACCACAGUGAGAAGAUAAGCGUUAAUUAAGUCUUUGUUUGAGAUGCACAAAUAAGGUAUUAAUCCAUUAUUUAGAUUAGGAUCAC